rnacentral:rRNA from 1 species
GAUCCUGGCUCAGAAUCAACGCUGGCGGCGUGCCUAACACAUGCAAGUCGAACGAGAAAGUGGAGCAAUCCAUGAGUACAGUGGCGUACGGGUGAGUAACACGUGACUACCUACCCUCGAGUGGGGAAUAACUUCGGGAAACCGAGGCUAAUACCGCAUAACAUCUACGGAUCAAAUGCGAAAGCAGCUUGAGGAGGGGGUCGCGGCCGAUUAGCUAGUUGGUGAGGUAAUGGCCCACCAAGGCAAUGAUCGGUAGCCGGCCUGAGAGGGCGCACGGCCACACUGGAACUGAAACACGGUCCAGACUCCUACGGGAGGCA